rnacentral:rRNA from 1 species
UACGUAGGGUGCAAGCGUUAUCCGGAUUUAUUGGGCGUAAAGGGCUCGUAGGCGGUUCGUCGCGUCCGGUGUGAAAGUCCAUCGCUUAACGGUGGAUCCGCGCCGGGUACGGGCGGGCUUGAGUGCGGUAGGGGAGACUGGAAUUCCCGGUGUAACGGUGGAAUGUGUAGAUAUCGGGAAGAACACCAAUGGCGAAGGCAGGUCUCUGGGCCGUUACUGACGCUGAGGAGCGAAAGCGUGGGGAGCGUACAGG